UACGAAGGGGGCUAGCGUUGCUCGGAAUCACUGGGCGUAAAGCGCACGUAGGCGGGUCCUUAAGUCAGGGGUGAAAUCCCGGAGCCCAACUCCGGAACUGCCUUUGAUACUGGGGAUCUUGAGUCCGGAAGAGGUGAGUGGAACUCCGAGUGUAGAGGUGAAAUUCGUAGAUAUUCGGAAGAACACCAGUGGCGAAGGCGGCUCACUGGUCCGGUACUGACGCUGAGGCGCGAAAGCCAGGGGAGCAAACGGG
rnacentral:rRNA from 1 species